rnacentral:rRNA from 1 species
GAUGAGCGCUGGCGGCGUGCCUAACACAUGCAAGUCGAACGGGACUACUGGAAGAUCUUUUCGGAGUGAUUCCUUUAGUUUAGUGGCGGACGGGUGAGUAACGCGUGGGGAACCUGCCCCAUUCCGGGGGAUACCAGUUGGAAACGACUGUUAAUACCGCAUAAGCGCACGGUACCGCAUGGUACAGUGUGAAAAACUCCGGUGGAAUGGGAUGGCCCCGCGUCUGAUUAGGCAGUUGGCGGGGUAACGGCCCACCAAACCGACGAUCAGUAGCCGACCUGAGAGGGUGACCGGCCACAUUGGGACUGAGACACGGCCCAAACUCC